GUGUUCACUCUGGCAAUAUAAAAGACUCAAAUGGAAACAAUAUAGAUAGGAUGAACAUGGCCUCUGGGCAAGGAUGAUAUAUGAAUUCCCAAGGCAUUCUGUAUUCUU